rnacentral:rRNA from 1 species
AGAGUUUGAUCAUGGCUCCAGAUUGAACUGGCCGUGCCCAUCAUAAGUCAGACGGUAACAGGAGCUUGCUUUUGCUGACGAGUGGCGGACGGGUGAGUAAUCUGGAAACUGCUGGUCGGUGGAUAACUACUGGAAACGGUGGCCAUAACGUCAAGACCAAAGGUACCUUCGGGCCUCUUGCCAUCGGAUGUGCCAGAUGGGAUUAGCUAGUAGGUGGGAGUAGCUAGGCGACGAUCCCAGCUGGUCUGAGAUGACCAGCACUGGAACUGAGACACGGUCAGCUACGGGAGGCGGCAGCGGUGGGAAUAUGUACACGGCAAGCCUGAUGCAGCCAUGCCGCGUGUAUGAAGAAGGCCUUCGGGUUGUAAAGUACUUUCAGCGGGAGGAAGGGAGUAAAGUUAAUACCUUUGCUCAUUGACAUUUACCCGCAGAAAAGCCGGCUAACUCUCCGUAUGGCCAGUAUCGCAGUAAGCGUUAAUCGGAAUUACUGGGCGUAAGCGCACGCAGGCAGUUUGUUAAGUCAGAUGUGAAAUCCGGGCUCAACCUGGGAACUGCAUCUGAUACUGGCAAGCUUGAUCGUAAGAGGGGUAGAAUUCCAGUGUAGCGGUGAAAUACAAGAAUCUGGAGAAUACCGGUGAGCAGCCCCUGGACGAAGACUGACGCUCAGGUGCGAAAGCGGGAGCAAACAGGAUUAGAUACCCUGGUAGUCCACGCCGUAAACGAUGUCGACUUGGAGGUUGUGCCCUUGAGGCGUGGCUUCCGGAGCUAACGCGUUAAGUCGACCGCCAGAGAGUACGGCCGCAAGGUUCUCAAAUGAAUUGACGGGAGGCCCGCACAAGCGGUGGAGCAUGUGGUUUAAUUCGAUGCAACGCGAAGAACCACCUGGUCUUGACAUCCACGGAAGUUUCAGAGAUGAGAAUGUGCCUUCGGGAACCGUGAGACAGGUGCUGCAUGGCUGUCGUCAGCUCGUGUUGUGAAAUGUUGGGUUAAGUCCGCAACGAGCGCAACCUUUCCUUGUUGCCAGCGGUCCGGCCGGGAACUCAAAGGAGACUGCCAGUGAUAAAACUGGAGGAAGGUGGGGAUGACGUCAAGUCAUCAUGGCCCUACGACCAGGGGCUACCGUGCUACAAUGGCGCGCAUACAAAGAAGCGACCUCGCGAGAGCAAGCGGACCUCAUAAAGUGCGUCGUAGUCCGGAUUGAGUCUGCAACUCGACUCCAUGAAGUCGGAAUCGCUAGUAAUCGUGGAUCGAAUGUCGGGCCUUGUACACCGCCCGUCACACCAUGGGAGUGGGUUGCAAAAAGAAGUAGGUAGCUUAACCUUUGGGAGGCGCUUACCACUUUGUGAUUCAUGACUGGGGUGAAGUCGCAACAAGGCAAUCGUGAGGGAAACCUGCGGUCG